CUCAUGGUUUCACGGUAUUGCAAUGAGAACAAUUUAAAACCCUUAGCGAGAAUCAAGUGGAGGACAAGUCUGGUGCCAGCACCCGCGGUAAUUCCAGCUCCACUAGCGUAUAUUAAAGUUGUUGCAGUUAAAAAGCUCGUAGUUGAACCUCUGUCUGGGGCUAGUUUUGGCUUUGGUCAGGCUAGUUCUAGGCAUCCGCCUACAAGACUUAGAGGGCAUUCAGUUGUUCACUAGGAGGAGUAGGCAUUUUACUUUGAAAAAAUUAGAGUGUUUAAGGCAGGCAAUCGCCCGCAUAUAUUAGCAUGGAAUAAUAGAAUAGGACACUUUUCCAUUUCGUUGGUUAUUGGAAUCGUGUAAUGAUUAAUAGGGACAGUUGUGGGCAUUUGUAUUUAAUUGUCAGAGGUGAAAUUCUUGGAUUUAUUAAAGACAAACUAACGCGAAAGCAUUUGCCAAGGAUGUUCUCAUUAAUCAAGAACGAAAGUUAGGGGAUCAAAGACGAUCAGAUACCGUCCUAGUCUUAACUAUAAACUAUUCCGACUCAAUGUUUGACUGGCUUAUAUAACCAGUUGAGCGUUGUAUGAGAAAUCAAAGUCUUUAGGUUCUGGGGGGAGUAUGGUUGCAAAGCUGAAACUUAAAGGAAUUGACGGAAGAGCACAACCAGGAGUGGAUUCUGCGGCUUAAUUUGACUCAACACGGGGAAACUUACCAGGUUAAAACAAUAGUGGGAUUGACAGUUUGAGAGCGCUUUCUUGAUUGGUUGGGUGGUGGUGCAUGGCCGUUCUUAGUUGGUGGAGUGAUUUGUCUGCUUAAUUGCGUUAACGAACGAGACCUUAACCUGCUUACUAGACUGGCGAUCAUCAAUCGUUAGCUCUUCUUAGAGGGACUUUGGUUGUUUUAACUCCAAGGAAGUUUGAGGCAAUAACAGGUCUGUGAUGCCCUUAGAUAUCCUGGGCCGCACGCGUCAUACAAUGACUAGUUCAGAAAGUUUUCUCCUGACCCGAAAGGGGAUGGGUAAUCUUGAUAAUACUAGUCGUGUUAGGGAUCGAUCUUUGCAAUUAUAGAUCUUGAACGAGGAAUUCCUAGUAAGUGCGGUUCAUCAGACCGUACUGAUUACGUCCCUGCUCUUUGUACACACCGCCCGUCGCUUCUACCGAGUGGGUGGUCCGGUGAGAUAAUUGAACUUCGCAGGUAACUGAGAGGAAAGAUUAUCAAACCUAUCCACCU
rnacentral:rRNA from 1 species